AUUGAACGCUGGCGGCAGGCCUAACACAUGCAAGUCGAACGGAGCGGCGGACGGGUGCGUAAUGCCUAGGAAUCUGAAUGGUCGCAGGGGCUAGCGUCAAGUAACGGGCACUAAUACCGCAUACUCUCAGAUUUGCCUUGGUCGGAUUAGCUAGUUGGUGGGGUAAAGGCAUACCAAGGCGACGAUCCGUAACUGGUUUGAGAGGAUGAGCAGUCACACUGGAACUGAGACACGGUCCAGACUCCUACGGGAGGCAGCAGUGGGGAAUAUUGGACAAUGGGCGAAAGCCUGAUCCAGCCAUGCCGCGUGUGUGAAGAAGGUCUUCGGAUUGUAAAGCACUUUUAGUUGAGAGGCGUUACCAACAGAAUAAGCACCGGCUAACUUCGUGCCAGCAGCCGCGGUAAUUC
rnacentral:rRNA from 1 species